GUGGGGAAUAUUGCGCAAUGGGGGAAACCCUGACGCAGCGACGCCGCGUGGAGGAUGAAGGUCUUCGGGUUGUAAACUCCUUUUCUCAGGAAAAAUUAUGAUGGUACCUGAGGAAUAAGCCACGGCUAACUCUGUGCCAGCAGCCGCGGUAAGACAGAGGUGGCAAGCGUUGUUCGGAAUCACUGGGCUUAAAGGGCGAGUAGGCGGUGAGGUAAGUCUGAGGUGGAAUCCUAUGACUCAAUCAUAGAAUUGCCUUGGAAACUGCUUUACUUGAGUCAGUGAGGGGAGGGCGGAAUUCCUGGUGUAGCGGUGAAAUGCGUAGAUAUCAGGAGGAAGGCCUGUGGCGAAGGCGGCCCUCUGGCACUGCACUGACGCUGAGGCGCGAAAGCGUGGGUAGCAAACAGGAUUAGAAACCCGUGUAGUCC
rnacentral:rRNA from 1 species